CGGGUUGCUUGAGAGUGCAGCCCUAAGUGGGUGGUAAACUCCAUCUAAGGCUAAAUACAACCACGAGACCGAUAGCGAACAAGUACCGUGAGGGAAAGUUGAAAAGAACUUUGAAGAGAGAGUUCAAAAGUACGUGAAACCGUUCAGGGGUAAACCUGAGAAACCCGAAAGGUCGAAAGGGAAGAUUCAUACGCGUCUCGGAAGUGUCGGCGAGCCGUCGAUCUGUUGACGGCGAGGCAUCUCGCGGUGCCUUAUCGCUCCGGUCUCGGCCGUCCGAACCCGAACGCGUGCACUUCUUCCCCUGUAGGACGUCGCGACCCGUUGGGUGUCGGUCUAUGGUCCGCUGGGGAGUCCGGGAGCGUUCUUGCGCGCCCGGACCCGCGGUAGCCCGGCCGACGCGAAAUCCAAAAAAACCGACGGUAUAACUUGGGCGCGGGGCCGCGAAUCUCGAAUUCGCGUCCGGCCCGUCGCAAGCGCGUGCGGUCGUAUACCCGUAGUCCGGACUCUCGUGCCGGAUCCGGGCCCGUUCGGCUGCUGGCGACGGUGUCCUCGGACAGACUCCGUCCGAUCGAAAGAUCACGCCCGUCGGCGACGCUAUAGCUUUGGGUACUUUCAGGACCCGUCUUGAAACACGGACCAAGGAGUCUAGCAUGUGCGCGAGUCAUUGGGAUAAUAGUAUCUAAACCUAAAGGCGCAAUGAAAGUGAAGGUCAGCCUUGCGCGGACCUAGGGAGGACGGGUUAUCGUUCGCGGUAGCUGCACUCCCGGGGCGUCUCGUUCUCAUCGCGAGAAGAGGCGCACCCAGAGCGUACACGCUGGGACCCGAAAGAUGGUGAACUAUGCCUGGUCAGGACGAAGUCAGGGGAAACCCUGAUGGAGGUCCGUAGCGAUUCUGACGUGCAAAUCGAUCGUCGGAACUGGGUAUAGGGGCGAAAGACUAAUCGAACCAUCUAGUAGCUGGUUCCCUCCGAAGUUUCCCUCAGGAUAGCUGGCGCUCGUCUCGAACGAGUCUCAUUCGGUAAAGCGAAUGAUUAGAGGCAUUGGGGUCGAAACGGCCUCAACCUAUUCUCAAACUUUAAAUGGGUGAGAUCUCCGGCUUGCUCGAACGAUGAAGCCGCGAGUAUCGGAUCAGAG
rnacentral:rRNA from 1 species